rnacentral:lncRNA from 1 species
CUUGUGGCAACCUGGUGGCAUGUUAAGUCACAGAAUCUGCAGUAAAAGAAUUGUGCUUUAAAUUUCUGUAGGUAAAUAUCAGUCUUGGCCACUUUCAACUUGACGUCUUCUUGAACCAGGGCCUGCUGCUUGAAUGUAGAAUGAAUAUCAGCAGUUCUUUCUAGCUUCAAAAUACAGACCACAGGCUGCUGCAGAAUCACCCUGGCCAAAACCCAAGCUCGUUGACCCAGUUCCACCAACCUCCAUGGCCUGAUCCCUCCUUCACUCCUCUACAAGAUCUUCAUUUAUCCGGUCGUACGGUCAGCAAGAGUUCAUGGGAGUUACCCGCAGCAAGCUGCAGUGGAUCCCUCAGGUGUGAGCACUGUGGUGCUUACACUCCGCUGCAGUGGCCAGCAGUACCAGAGGGUGCAGUGAGACGAGGGUACCACAGAGGAGAGGAGAGCACAGCUGCAGGGACCCAAGCAGGGACUCGCCUGGUCCUGGAGGUCUUCCCAUGGCCUCCUUGAGAAGACUGUGGCAUGUCACUUGAGCCUUGCCUCAUUGCCCUGUGUAUAAGAGAUGCUCUGCAAAGGCCAGCUCACAUGUAGCCCAUGGAAAUCAUCACACACCCAGCUACAUGGUGUCUCCCUCUGGUGGCGGCUUCCCUGCCUCUCCUCUUCCCAGAAUUCUCCUAGUGUGGUAGCCCCACCUGUACUUCCUGUCUGGCUACUGACCAAUCAGCGUUGAUUCAUCAGCCGAGAAGAGAAACUUGUAUUCGCAGCUACAGAAGGACACCCCCUCAGUGCACAGCAGAGAGCAGCUGACAUUUUAGGUGGAGAGAAGGCUCCCCCACUAAGGGACAUCAAACAUGCAGAUGUAUAAAGCACAGAAGACCAAGGAAUGUGACUGUCAAGGUCAUGACACCAGGAGGGUGUUUGCAGUUAGCCUUCCUGUGGUCUCCUUGUGAAGGUGGAAGGAGCUUCACCGUCACCCUGACAGCUUAGGACCCCAGCACACGCACACAGCUCUGGGUGGAUCUUGGAGCGCACUUCCAGAGGGGUUUCACUGAGGGGAUGGCAGGGGCUGAAUUAGAAGAAGGUGAAAGAGCACCAGCAUCCCUCCUCUGCUUCCCGACUAUGGAAGCAGGGUGGCCAGCCGCCUCAUGCUCCUGCUGCCACCCCCACCCCAACCACAUGGGCCACACCCGCCAUUAUUUCACAGGGUCUAGAAGGCUGCAUUCCUCCCAUGGUUCUGUGGGGUUGCUGGAGGCCAAGCACUCUGCCUGUGGUCUCUUGGAUGUUGCUGUCGUUACCCUCACUCUCCAGGUCUCGGCUUCUUUAUGUGGCUCUCAAGUGUCAGCCCUGUGCACUGUGAAGAGGGACCCUCCAGGCUCUGCUGCAGGACGCUCCUGCACCUUCCUUGCCUGAUAGGAAAAGAUCGUGUCCGUGCCCGGGACCACUGUUCCUCCCGGAUGACCCCACCCACCCAACUUCAUGUUUUCUCCUUCAACAAAACCAACCAACAAAAAACCAAGAAACCUUGGGGGGCGGAGAGG